CUGCUUUCUGAGUGCUGGGAUUAAAGGCAUGCAGUGUACCACCACUACUCAGCUGACCUUUUUUUUUUUUAAUUUUAUUUUAUUGGUUGUGUGUGCAUGGAAACCAGAAUAACUUUGUGGAGUCAGUUCUGUCCUUCCAUCUUUACUUGGGUUCUGGGAUCAAACCCAGCUUGUCAGACUUGUGCAUCCUGGGCUUUUACCUGGUCCUAGUUGGCGUUUCUUUAAUCUAUAGUCCUUCCUUCUACUUUUUUUUUUCUUGCAAUUUAUCUAUUUGAACAUCUUUUGUUGUUGCAGUUUUCUACACUCUGGAUUUUGUUGAUCACAUCCCUGGGGUGUUUUUAAUCCUGUUCUCUCUCCUACAUUUCUGUAAACUAGUAGUAGAUCAGAUUCGGAUUCAACUGUUUAUGAAGAAUGCCUGGUAGAUGCACUGUGCACUUCUCCUCUCCCCUCUGAAGUGUGAUUGUGUCCAUCGUCCUCUGCACAGUUGUCCCACUUUUUGUGGGUUCAGACUGAUUGAUGGGGUAGUUAGCCUGAUUACAACCUAUUACAGAGGUUCUGCAGCGUCCGUUUACCUAAUGUUCUCAGCAGUCCCUGAUGGUCAUUGCCUUGUGCAUUAUUUCAUUAGGAGUUUCCUCGUCCCCAUUAGCAUCCCCGGCCUCUCUUCUUUGCAUCUGCUUUUCCCACACUGUCCUUAACCCGUACCAUCAUUUCUUUGCCUCAUCAACCCAAGAUGCCCUAACAGCACUUCAGGCCUGGAAGACUCCAUCUGCUUCCCUGGUGGCCUGCACUUCCCUGAGGGGAGGGUCCUGACUUGGAUCUGUUCUCACUGAGGCAGCUCUCUGAAUCCUGCUAGGGCCAUGCCUGACCCACACUGGGGAGUGCAAGCAGCCCAGGCUGUUCCUCCUCCUGAGAGUUCUGCAGAGAGCUGGCUUUAUUCCCCCUUCCCAUGACUUUCUCAGGAGCCCUCUUCUGUACUGGGGAGAGUCUUCCAUACUGUUUCCUCAGCUUCCUGCCCAAGCCUGGGCCCUGGCAGGGAUCCAAGCCUGGCUUCCUGUUUACAGGCAGAGAGAGAGGUGAGGGGGGCAUGGGAAGGGCAACUCCAGCACUCAUGUCCCUUUUUCUCUCCUGCCAAGUUUAGACACCUAUGAGGGCCAGCGCAGUUACCAUCCUCUGGUACUUUGGCAUCCCUGUGCCUCUCAUGAUCACCACUCCUGUUGGAUUCUUCGGCUCAGAGGAGAGACUAUGGAUACCGUGCUCUGUGUAUUCAUGCGCCCCAGACAGAAAAAGCAAAUGCACCACUUUCUCCAUGGGGCAGCUGAGCAGGAAGCACAGAGCUGAGAGCUGCUGCUUGCAGACCCUGGCCUACCUACACAAGUCCAACCCAACAGAGCUUCUGGGUGGAGCAGGAAGCCUUCGAGGUGUAAGGGGCCAGGGGCUAAUUAUGAGAGCCAGAAGACAUCAGAGCCUCUGGCUGUGAGGAGACAGGCGUUUCUUUGGAAAUGAGAAACUCAACAUUGAACAGCUAUAUUCCUGCCUCUUGACUCCCUGCUGGCAGGUUUCUGCAGCUUCACCUUCAGCAGCAAAGAGAGGCGAGGAGGAGAGUUUAGUCUCACGUCCCCUCAGCUCCAGCCAUGUUCUUGGAUGUUCCCCCUCCUGCUGGUGUUUCCAGUGCAGCCUUUUUAUGUGGCAAAGUAGUGAAGGAACAGAAAACGUAAUUAGUCCUGGCUCGGGCACUACAUGGCAACUACUCAGCCUGAUUUUUUUUUCUCUGCAAAAUUGGAAUAAAUAAUUAACACUACAUCUGUGUCUUAUGAUUGUCAGAGAUUACAUGAGAAAAUGAGGGGAAAGCUUUGAAAACAUAAGUUGCAAUAAAAACAUAAAUGCCUCUAUUUUUCUGAA